rnacentral:rRNA from 1 species
AUACGUAGGGGGCAAGCGUUAUCCGGAAUUAUUGGGCGUAAAGAGUGCGUAGGUGGUUCUUUAAGCGAGAGGUUUAAGGCUAUGGCUUAACCAUAGUUCGCCUCCCGAACUGAAGGACUUGAGUGCAGGAGAGGAAAGCGGAAUUCCUAGUGUAGCGGUGAAAUGCGUAGAUAUUAGGAGGAACACCAGUGGCGAAGGCGGCUUUCUGGACUGAAACUGACACUGAGGCACGAAAGCGUGGGGAGCAAACAGGAUUAGAUACCCUGGUAGUCCACGCCGUAAACGAUGAGCACUAGGUGUCGGGAGGAUGAACUCUCGGUGCCGCAGUUAACGCAAUAAGUGCUCCGCCUGGGGAGUACGCACGCAAGUGUAAAACUUAAAUGAAUUGGCGGGG